UACGUAGGGUGCAAGCGUUAAUCGGAAUUACUGGGCGUAAAGCGUGCGCAGGCGGUGAUGUAAGACAGAUGUGAAAUCCCCGGGCUCAACCUGGGAACUGCAUUUGUGACUGCAUCGCUGGAGUGCGGCGGAGGGGAAUGGAAUUCCGCGUGUAGCAGUGAAAUGCGUAGAUAUGCGGAGGAACACCGAUGGCGAAGGCAAUCCCCUGGGCCUGCACUGACGCUCAUGCACGAAAGCGUGGGGAGCAAACAGG
rnacentral:rRNA from 1 species